UAAACAUUGAUACUUUUUACACUACUAUCCGCCCGGGUACUACAAGCAUUAGCUUUAAACCCAAAGGACUUGGCGGUGCUUAAGAUCCCCCUAGAGGAGCCUGUCCUAUAACCGAUAACCCGCGUUUAACCUCACCCUCCCUUGCUUUUCCCGCCUAUAUACCGCCGUCGUCAGCUUACCCCGUGAAGGUUUAAUAGUGAGCAAAAAUGGCACAGCCUAAAACGUCAGGUCGAGGUGUAGCGCAUGAGAGGGGAAGAGAUGGGCUACAUUCCCUAAAUGUAGGAGUAAUACGGAUAAUAUAUUGAAACAUAUUUUUUAAGGAGGAUUUAGCAGUAAGCAGAAGUUAGUAUGCUCCGCUGAACCUGGCCCUAAAGCGCGCACACACCGCCCGUCACUCUCCCCAAGUCUUAUAGUAAUUAUAUUUAUAAUAAACCCCAGUAGCAAAGGGGAGGCAAGUCGUAACAUGGUAAGUGUACCGGAAGGUGUACUUGGAUAAAU
rnacentral:rRNA from 1 species